ensembl:snRNA U6 U6 spliceosomal RNA
GUGUUCCCUUUGGCAGCACAUAUACUAAAACUGGAACAAUACGGAGAUUAGCAUGGCCCUGUCCAAGAAUGACAUGCAAAUUCAUGAAGCAUUCCACGUUUUU